rnacentral:rRNA from 1 species
CAACAGCUCAAAUUUGAAAUCUGGCCUCUUCGGGGUCCGAGUUGUAAUUUGUAGAGGGUGUUUCGGGCGCGAUGCCGGUCUAAGUUCCUUGGAACAGGACGUCGCAGAGGGUGAGAAUCCCGUACGCGACCGGCGAUCAAGCCUGUGUGAAGCCCCUUCGACGAGUCGAGUUGUUUGGGAAUGCAGCUCAAAAUGGGUGGUAAAUUUCAUCUAAAGCUAAAUAUUGGCCAGAGACCGAUAGCGGACAAGUAGAGUGAUCGAAAGAUGAAAAGCACUUUGGAAAGAGAGUCAAACAGUACGUGAAAUUGUUGAAAGGGAAGCGCUUGCAAUCAGACCGGUCCGGAGGCGAUCAGCCGCUGCUCGUUCAGCGGUGCACUCGCCUGCGAUCCGGCCAGCAUCGGUUUGGGCGGUGGGAUAAAAGUCCCGGGAAUGUAGCUUCUCUCGGGGAGUCUUAUAGCCCGGGUCGCAAUGCCGCCCGCCCGGACCGAGGACCGCGCUUCGGCUAGGAUGCUGGCGUAAUGGUUGCAAGCG